CUGGGAUCCCACCGGAGUCUGGGACGUGCAGGGAUUGGUCGGCCACAGGCAGGGAUUUCUUGGGGAUGCCCCCUGGACUGACAGGGUCCAUCCCACUCCAGAACAGAGUUGCCGAAUCCCCUGAAGCCAGAUCUCACAGGAUCUCUGAGCCACAUCUUGCAAGAACUCGGAAACCAUUCCUAGCCGCCAGAGCUACACGAGGUGGGGUAAUAGAAGCAUAGAAAGUUAAGCGACUUAUUCAAGGCCACAUCUUGUGCAGAAGAGCACAGACGAGGAAUAUGGAACAAAACAAGGUUCUUAAAUGCUUUUCUAAGAUGAUUUGGUUUUAUUAAAUAACGGCAAGUUAUGGAAGAGAGCAAUUCCAGUGAAAAAAUUAAGGAGGCACUGAAAAGGAAUGGAGAAGAACAAAUGAGGAGGCUCCAGCUGGAGACACUGCAAUAGUAAGGGAAACCAGCGAUGAAUAGCUAAACUAGGGGCAAAUUCGUGAAUCCUUAUACUGACAGAAUUGAUGGGGCUUCCCCAUUUGGGGGCCAGUGAGGAACAGAACAUGAAUUUCAAUCAUACUCUUUAAGAAGGUGUAAGGUGGCUUUUGGAAAAAAAUGUUCCCACAAAAUUUGCUUUAAAUUUGGAAACUUUUUAUGUAUAAAUGGUUAAGUUUUGGUUACCUAUAUUUCAGACUGUUUAAUUCCUGGCCAAUACUUGAGAACUGAUCCUGAUGUUAGUUUCUUCACAAUUUGCUCUCCAGCAGCUGUUAUGUGAGCCCCACCUUUUCUUUUCAUUUUCUGUUUUAUCCAGCUCUCUUACUUUGCCCAGUCCCUGCCUGUAAUUUAUCACUCUUUUAUCUGCUCCUAAACACCUACUCUUUUACUUUCUAAAAAUAUUUGAAGUAUUUAUUGUUUUGUCAAUUCUUUUAUCAUCACUUUAUAUCUUUCAGAUUCUUUCCUUCUUGUUUAUAAAUUAAUCUCUUUUUAUUCAAAUUUUCCCUUCAUAUAAUGCUUCUAAAUAUAUGAUUGUCCAUCUUCUUGUUCAUAUACAAAUACCUAAAUAAUCAAGUUGAUUUUGCAGAUUUCUGGUAUUAAGGAUGCUAUUUAUAUUAAUGUCAAUAACCCACAUUUAAAAGACUUACAAUAAUUCUGUUAAUUUAAAAUGAUUUCUAAAUCAAAAUAAAGAUGCAAAGGGGACUGAAAAGAAUAUUUUGAAACAUGAUUAAUUUUAAUAUGUUUACAGGGAAAGAGUAAAUUCAUCAGCAGGGAAAAAAAAAUACCAAAACUAAAAUUUUAUAUAUUUUUAGUCUCAAAGCACAAUAUAUUUUUCAUAGAAACUAAUAUAUAACCAUCAUAGGUACCACAAUAUGGCAACAUUUAUACACAAGGCCAUUUACCAUUAAGAAAAUCAGUAGCAAUGGUGAUGCAAUACAUUAGUUUAUCUUUGUUAAACUUUCUGCUAUUAUACUUCCUGGCCUGCAGGAGUAUUUGCCAGGAUACGAAAGAAAAUGUGUGACCUCAGUUUCAACAAUACAAAGUUCUGGCUGCCCACGCUUAACCCUAUAUUUACUAUAUGAUCACUACAAAUGUUUUCAUACCACUACUCUGACUUCAUUCCAUUUACUAUAAGGCCGUUCCCAAGGAAUCAAACAUUUUAACAGAUUCAUUUAGAUAUUAAGGAAUUAUUUUAUACAAAAUAAGAAGUGCAAUAUCAGGACUUAAUAUUCUAUAAGCCCCAACUUAACAGAAGA